rnacentral:lncRNA from 1 species
GAAACUAUUUUGGAAGAGGAAAGAAAUAUGCAAAGAGGAUUUUAGAAAGCCAUCUGCAACUGCUAAACUAUUGGAGUUUCAAAUCAACAAAUAGUUUGUCAGGAAAAAUUGUGUGCUUUCCAGAUUACAGAUAUUUCUUGAAAACAGACUGGUUCCUUAGUGUCUAUUUAUGCGGUUUCUACUGGUUUUAUUUUUUUAAUGGAAAACCACUGUGACCCUCUGAGUUAGGAGAGUAAUCCAUCCGGGUGCCAGUAUUUGAGAGCACCGUGAGCACGGUGUGGUCUUAACAAGAGGAAUUUAUGACUUUACAUAUAUGGCUUUAUGUUAUGUCUAUUUCAUGUCUUUGUGGGAAUCCCAUGACGAGUCACUUCGAUAAAGUAAAAAAAAAAAAAAAAAAAAACACAUGUAUUACUAAAAUAAAGUACAAAUAACAGUGACCAACUAAAAACCAUCAUUUAUGUUUUGCAGGCAUGAGUUCUUUUCCGGAGAUCAGAAUUACUUCCAGUGAAUCCCAGAUGUUCCAUAUUGGAUUGUAGAAGAAAGCAAACAUACUGAAGGAAUAGCCACCAUCCCAUAAGGAGCUGCGGGAGGGAUCUCUGGAGAGACAAUGAGAGGCUGGCCCCAUGCAUCCACCAUGGUGAGCACACUACUCGCAGAAAGAAAUCACCAGCUCCAUAUGGGCCAGAAGCUCUACUGUCAUUAUGAAGGUAACUUCUGUUGCCUUUCAGCGAUAGACUAACGCUUUGUUAUAAAGGGAACACAGAGAAAUCUGAUCUGCUACAAAACUAGCAAACUAAAAUUCAUGUCCUGGGACUAAAGAGUAUUUCGCCUCAUUAAAUCUCCCUCAACAAAGAGCCAGAAGGAACCAUCCUCUCAGCUAAAAAUACCGUGAGGAGUUAGUUGCGACACCAGCGCAUCAUUCAGUGGCCGGUGACAGCUAAGCCCCGGAGGAGUUCUGGGUGUACCCUUCAGCAUCAGUGAGUGGAGUGUACCCAAGGACAACCAGACUGGAAAAAGCAGAUGACAAUUUUUAGUUUUUUCUCUCUGCAACCUAAGACUUCGUAUUGGAAGCCACUGACCAACUUCUGGAGUACUGUGGGCUGACAGCGCUUCACUUGCCUCUAUAACUGGGGCUGGCGUUGGUGGCCACAGCAAGCAGCCCAAGAACCUGAGAAUGAAGGGGAUGGAGAUGUCCCCCCUGACGGUUCAACUAAGAAAUCAGCAUAUGUGGAUCAUAGCUGAGAAGUUCCAGUUCCCUCCCUCCAGGGCCUGAACUUCAUGACCAUGGCAUUGAGUCAAGCAGAACGUAAGGACCAUCAGAGCCCAGGGAAGGAGACUCUCUGAGGACAAGGCACACACUGCCCACUGCCCAACUGGGAACUGUCCAGGGGGCAUGGCCACAGUCAAGGACAGAGAGAAAAGGGUUUGUUGGGAAGGCUGCUCAUGGCCAUGGGUGGAACCCAGGUAGAUCUCGGUCCCAGCUUGGCCAUUUCUGGGCUGUGUGACCUUACAC